rnacentral:rRNA from 1 species
ACGCUGGCGGCAGGCCUAACACAUGCAAGUCGAGCGGUAGAGAGAAGCUUGCUUCUCUUGAGAGCGGCGGACGGGUGAGUAAUGCCUAGGAAUCUGCCUGGUAGUGGGGGAUAACGUCCGGAAACGGACGCUAAUACCGCAUACGUCCUACGGGAGAAAGCAGGGGACCUUCGGGCCUUGCGCUAUCAGAUGAGCCUAGGUCGGAUUAGCUAGUUGGUGGGGUAAUGGCUCACCAAGGCGACGAUCCGUAACUGGUCUGAGAGGAUGAUCAGUCACACUGGAACUGAGACACGGUCCAGACUCCUACGGGAGGCAGCAGUGGGGAAUAUUGGACAAUGGGCGAAAGCCUGAUCCAGCCAUGCCGCGUGUGUGAAGAAGGUCUUCGGAUUGUAAAGCACUUUAAGUUGGGAGGAAGGGCAGUUACCUAAUACGUGAUUGUUUUGACGUUACCGACAGAAUAAGCACCGGCUAACUCUGUGCCAGCAGCCGCGGUAAUACAGAGGGUGCAAGCGUUAAUCGGAAUUACUGGGCGUAAAGCGCGCGUAGGUGGUUCGUUAAGUUGGAUGUGAAAUCCCCGGGCUCACCUGGGAACUGCAUUCAAAACUGACGAGCUAGAGUAUGGUAGAGGGUGGUGGAAUUU